GGGCGCGAGGCAGCCGCGCCGCAUGCGCGCGACAAACCCUAGCGGCCUAGCCUCCCCAAGCCCCACAGGCCGCACUCCUCCUCCUCCCCCAUCCCACCCUCGUUAGCCGCCGCCACCAUUAUGCCUCCCUCCUCUCCGUCCUACAACCACGCCACCGGAGGAAGCCGUCGUUCGUGGCGCCAUAUCGCUGCCGGGGUGCCGCGUAAGAGGCUAGGGGACGCCGCCACCGCAAGCCGGCAGGAAGCCAACGGCGAGCACGCCGUCAAGAUGCCGCCAGGAGGACCUACCAUCCGGUCCAUGUCGUCAAGCGAGGGCCGCUUGUUGCGUCGUCGUGGGAGGAGGCGCACCAUCGAGGAGCAGCAGAGGAGGAGACGAGGACCAUCAAGGAGUAGCAGGGGAGGAGACGAGGACCAUCGAGGAGCAGCAGGGGACCGCCGAACUCCCUCUUCCCUUCCGGCUGCACCUUCUCCGUGAGCUCCUUCCAGUCCCUCGCUUCUCCACUCCUACUUUUCACUCUCCCUCCCAUGCUCGUCAUGUGUGCUUUCUUUUGAUUUGGUUGUGCCUGCAGGUCCAUGGACAUUGUCAGAAUGGUCAAUUUAUUCUGGCGUAUUAUUUUCAGAUAUCAUGUUUGUCCAAGCCUCCAAGAUUCAAUUAGAUAGCAUUGUCUUCUCCCCGAGCAGCAAAAUGGAAGUUAGGAAUGUCAACUCUGCUGUGUGUCAGGCUCAGCGAUGCCAGCCUCUGCCCCCUCCCCAAACGAUACGGUCUGCUUCAGUUCACGCAGUGUCUAGGUGAAGAAUUUGUGGCCAGCAACGAAAAGAUGUCUCUUGAAAAUCUAGACAGUAAAGGAAAAAAGAUACGCCAACACUGUUCUACAAUCUGUUGCAUCUCUGUUCUCCUCGUUAAGGAGAGGGGAGGCGGCCAAUGACAGGGAGAAGGAGCAGGCCGUCGAGGAGUGCAAGCAAAAGAAUAAAUAGCACGGAGAACAUAUCAGUGCUAUAUGUGUGUCUAAGGGCUCCAAGAGAUGCAGUCAUAGACAGUGACUGGUCCCUGAAGUUUGGGACGUUAAGGAUAAAAGCAAGCAGUUUUCAGAAACUUUUAGUUGUGGCUCAUGGGUUGGAGCAACUGGGAAAUCAUUGACAAAUGUGGUCUCAGUUGGAGUUGGUGGUAGCUUCCUUGGACCUCUGUUUGUGCAUGCAGCUCUCCAGAUUGACCCGAAACAGCAGAGUCCGCCAAAGGCUGGCAACUAAGAUUGUAAGCGUGUACUUGGGGUAUGUUUCUGUAUUUCUUUUGUUGACACCUGUUACAUGUUCUUCUCGCACUUCCUAUGGAUGAUCAAAAAUAUUAAAUGUGAUCGAGCAGAGGCUUCCUUUUUAUCUUUCUGCACCAUUCAUGCAACCCUAACCAGGAAUUCUUUCAUUAUUGGAGUCUUUCAUUGUAUGUAUAACUAUAUAUUGAUGCAAGGUGGGAGAAGAAGGAGGUGGCUGGCCUUUAUUGUGUUUUGGUGUGGUUCUCUCCUAUUUAAUGGUAGAUAUGAUGUAUAGGUUCAAGCAUGUGAUGUUUCUUUCAGUGCAUAUUUGUGCUUUACGAUGUUUGAUGCACAUAUAGUUGAACCUCUUACUCCAUGUAAUACUUUGCCAAAGAAGAAUUUAUUAAUGUUGGUGUUUUUUCUCUUUUCAGAUUUUAGCCUGGGUGCAUAAACAUACAUGCCGCACAUUAUAUUCAAAUUUCAGUGCAAGAUUAAACUGGGGAUAAAUCAUUAUGGAAGGGAAAGGAAUGAAUAACAAACUAUAUAGAUUUAUUAUCAUAUCAUUUAUUUUUGAUUGCAUGAUCUUAAUUGCUCAUCUCUGAAAAUAUUCUAGGCUCUUGCUCUUGGAAGAUUAGACUGAUGUGGUUUUGCUUUAUGAAUAAAUGGCGUGCUAACUUACUGGUUUGAUUUAGGUGUGUAGGCAGAGUAAACAAAAGAAUCAUAAUCCCAGGUUUAGGCAUGCACAUGGUCACUGAUCACAAAGUAGGUAGGAACAUGUGCAGUAUUGUGAUUUUCAGCAAGAGAAAGAGAAACAUAGUUAAUUGUACGUAUUUUAAGCUACACUAUGUGAUGUUGCUCUAUUAUAAAGGCCUUGCUUAAAUGCUUGGUUUGCAACAUGUAUUGCAUUUCCAGGGAUUAUCCUUUUGCUUAUUUAGUAUUUCCUAUGUUAUAUUUCGUCCUCAGUUGGGUCAUUGUAUGUGAUUAUUUACUCAUUUUGAGCCAUUUUGCAACCAAGCUUGACUUCUUUUAUUUUGCGAUCUGAGUUAUGCACACCAAAAUUAGCCCACGUAAGUUUGAACCAUAUUGAACAUGUUAGAUCACUCUCCUGUAUGUGAUGAUUUACUCUAUGGAGCCAUGUUGUGACCUAGCUUGAGUUCUUUUAUUUGCGAUCUGAGCUGCAAAAUAAAAAUAAAAAUAAAAAUAGUCCACGUAAUUCGAACCAUAUCUGAACAUUUUAGUAUCUGAAUACUGAAAUUACCAAACAUGAUCUUCACUUCGCCAUUUGUGACCCCACAGUGCUUUAACUAAGCUAGCUAUAGUAAUAUUAUGUUUUACAUGGCUAUGCAAGUUAAAGGUUCUAAUAUAGUGUACGUUUAUCAAUAUUUUGUGUUAUAUUGAGUAAUAUACUUCACAUAUAAGUUUUAAGCUAAUAGCUCCUAAUAAUUGUUUCUCCUCUUUGCAGUUGCCAUUUUAGUCAUAUUUUUUCUGAGAUAAAGAAUAAUAUUGAGAUGCAUUUCCUUUCUGAUGAUGAGAUUGGGUAUGCCUAUGUUUUGUAUUUUUCAGUAUUAUUUUAUUUUCGGCUCCGCUUAGCUGAGAGAGCUAAGAGAUAAUAUGGUAAACAAUUUCUAUCAAGUGGGUGAGCUCCAUUUUUCAAGGUAAGUCAGGUGACAGCCAAAAAAAUACCAAGGAGAUGAGUCUCUUAUCAGUUGUUUUGAUCUUAUCCAGGUUCUAUUUUCUUUCAGGCCAUGAGUUACGAUGUCCUGGUUAGAGCUACUACAUUCAAAGAGUAAAUCUGUUUCAUUGUAUCUGUACAUUAUAUGAAAAAGGUGCAUCUAUUAUGCCUCGUAGAAAUUUCAGCUGAGCAAUUGUGUAGACUUACGAAGCUAUCAUGACGGAUGUUAGUGAUUUCUGUAUUAGGGCCAUGUUACAUCUCUAGGGUUGAAUUAAUGGCUAGAAAUUCAGAGUUACAUAGCUGAAAACAGGGUUGCUCGAAGCAAACAAGCUGCUUAUUCAGUAUUUUUGACACUCAUGGAAAAUGUAUAUGCUCAUCCUAAAUUCCUAAUUAUUAUUAUAUCACAUAACUGAAAGUGCAUUAGACCAAUGGUGUUAUCAAAAAUAAAUAAUUUUUGCCCCAUAGCUGAACCGUGUCUUUUCUCUGUGUGUAUAUAUGUUAGAGAUGUGUAAGAUUUAGACAUUUUUAUUCAUUUGUUAACUUUACCAAUGUAUGGAUGACAUGCUUCAUUAUGUUAUAUCACAUGUGAAGGUGCAUUAUACCUGUGGUUUAUUAGAAUGCAUAAUUUCGGUCAAAUAAUUGAGUUGUUCUUUUCUUCGGUGUAUAUACAAGUUACAGAUGUGCAUGAUUAUGUUUAUUCUCUACAUUUGGUAAAUUCACCUAUGUAUGGCUGACAUACUUCUUUAGGUUAUGUUUCUAAAGCUCCAUGCUUAAUCGUCCAGAAUGUUUCCAAGUGACUGCUUUACACAUGGGAGACUGGAUGAAUGGAGGAGUUCAGAGAAGCUGGUGUUAUGUUACAUAUGGUCUUCAAGCUAAUGUUAUGUUUCUUGCAUGGUUUGUGUAUUUGUUGCAAAAACAUAGUACAAGAAAAAGAUCUAUGCUCAUGAAGAUGGCAGAAGGGAACUACAUGUGGAACAAGAACCACUAGCACUGACCAGUUGGGCAUCUGGAUAGUGGUAGUGAACAAAAAUUGCUUGCCCUAUAGAGUCAAUGUAAUCUACUACUAUCCCACUUGCUGAUUUUUAUAUUAUGAAACCAUAGUAUGUAUUUACACUCCUGCUGUGAGAUUGUACUAUGUAAAUUAUGGGAGGACAAUGUAGGCCUUUAUAUGCAAAUAACUCCUUGUUGAAA